AUUGAACGCUAGCGGCAGGCCUAAUACAUGCAAGUCGAACGGUGUCUUCGGACAUAGUGGCGCACGGGUGCGUAACACGUAUGCAACCUACCUUACAUUGGGGGAUAGCCUUUCGAAAGGGAGAUUAAUACCGCAUAAGACAGUAGCUGGGCAUCCAGCAGCUGUUAAAGAUUUAUCGAUGUAAGAUGGGCAUGCGUCCAAUUAGUUAGUUGGCGAGGUAACGGCUCACCAAGACUUUGAUUGGUAGGGGAACUGAGAGGUCAAUCCCCCACACUGGCACUGAGAUACGGGCCAGACUCCUACGGGAGGCAGCAGUAGGGAAUAUUGGGCAAUGAACGCAAGUCUGACCCAGCCAUGCCGCGUGCAGGAUAAAGGCGUUAUGCGUUGUAAACUGCUUUUAUACAGGAAGAAACGACUCUUGCGAGAGGCAUUGACGGUACUGUAUGAAUAAGCACCGGCUAACUCCGUGCCAGCCGCCGCAGUAACAC
rnacentral:rRNA from 1 species